rnacentral:rRNA from 1 species
UACGUAGGGUGCGAGCGUUGUCCGGAAUUAUUGGGCGUAAAGGGCUCGUAGGCGGUCUGUCGCGUCGGGAGUGAAAACUCAGGGCUUAACCCUGAGCCUGCUUCCGAUACGGGCAGACUAGAGGUAUGCAGGGGAGAACGGAAUUCCUGGUGUAGCGGCGGAAUGCGCAGAUAUCAGGAGGAACACCGGUGGCGAAGGCGGUUCUCUGGGCAUUACCUGACGCUGAGGAGCGAAAGUGUGGGGAGCGAACAGG